rnacentral:rRNA from 1 species
UACGGAGGAUCCAAGCGUUAUCCGGAAUCAUUGGGUUUAAAGGGUCCGUAGGCGGUUUUGUAAGUCAGUGGUGAAAGCCCAUCGCUCAACGGUGGAACGGCCAUUGAUACUGCAAGAUUUGAAUUAUUGGGAAGUAACUAGAAUAUGUAGUGUAGCGGUGAAAUGCUUAGAGAUUACAUGGAAUACCAAUUGCGAAGGCAGGUUACUACCAAUAUAUUGACGCUGAUGGACGAAAGCGUGGGGAGCGAACAGG